rnacentral:rRNA from 1 species
GAUGAACGCUGGCGGCGUGCCUAAUACAUGCAAGUCGAGCGAACAGACGAGGAGCUUGCUCCUCUGACGUUAGCGGCGGACGGGUGAGUAACACGUGGAUAACCUACCUAUAGGACUGGGAUAACUUCGGGAAACCGGAGCUAAUACCGGAUAAUAUAUUGAACCGCAUGGUUCAAUAGUGAAAGACGGUUUUGCUGUCACUUAUAGAUGGAUCCGCGCCGCAUUAGCUAGUUGGUAAGGUAACGGCUUACCAAGGCAACGAUGCGUAGCCGACCUGAGAGGGUGAUCGGCCACACCGGAACUGAGACACGGUCCAGACUCCUACGGGAGGCAGCAGUAGGGAAUCUUCCGCAAUGGGCGAAAGCUUGACGGAGCAACGCCGCGUGAGUGAUGAAGGUCUUCGGAUCGUAAAACUCUGUUAUUAGGGAAGAACAAAUGUGUAAGUAACUAUGCACGUCUUGACGGUACCUAAUCAGAAAGCCACGGCUAACUACGUG